AUGUGGUACAGCCUGUCUGAGGGCCGGGCACCCCACAUGUGGCACAGCCUGUCUGCGGGCCGGGCACCCCACAUGUGGCACAGCCUGUCUGAGGACCGGGCACCCCACAUGUGGCACAGCCUGUCUGAGGACCGGGCACCCCACAUGUGGCACAGCCUGUCUGAGGACCGGGCACCCCACAUGUGGCACAGCCUGUCUGAGGACCGGGCACCCCACAUGUGGCACAGCCUGUCUGAGGACCGGGCACCCCACAUGUGGCA